rnacentral:rRNA from 1 species
GUACACGCUGUGACUAGCAUAUCAAUAAGCGGAGGAAAAGAAACUAACAAGGAUUCCCCUAGUAACGGCGAGUGAAGCGGGAAGAGCUCAAAUUUGAAAUCUUAAAGGGUUUCCCUUUACGAAUUGUAGUUUAAAGAAGUGUUUUCUGUUGAGGUUUUGGUAAAAGUUCUUUGGAAUAGGACAUCAUAGAGGGUGAGAAUCCCGUAUUUGACCUUUACUUUCAACUUUGUGAUACACUUUCAAAGAGUCGGAUUGUUUGGGAAUGCAGUCCAAAAUGGGUGGUAAAUUUCAUCUAAAGCUAAAUAUUGGCGAGAGACCGAUAGCGAACAAGUACCGUGAGGGAAAGAUGAAAAGAACUUUGAAAAGAGAGUUAAACAGUACGUGAAAUUGUCAAAAGGGAAGCGUUUGACACCAGUGUUGUUUUUCUGAAAAUCAAUUAAAGAACUGUUUAUGCUAAGCUGUUUAGACUUUAUCAGCUAACUGUUUAGUUUUGAGCUUUUCUUUAAUGCACUUUUCAGUUAACAAGUCAACAUCAAUUUCUUUUGCUGUAAAAAAGCUUGAGGAAGGUGGCUUGAGAUUCGUCUUAAGUGUUUAUAGCCUCUUGCCUAUGCAGUCGGAGAGAUUGAGGUCUGCAGCGUAGAUCCUUCGGGGCUAAAUGCAUUUGUGCUAAGUUAUAGCAUUUUAUAGACAACCUGUUGACUAUGAUUUGUCUUGUAGCUUACUCGCUUAUGUUAUUUUACCUACGCUUAGGAUGUUGAGUCGUAGAGCACGCAG